ACGGGACCCCGGCCACAGGCGGUGGAUCAUGUUGUUUAAUUCGAUGAUACGCGAAGAACCUUACCAGGUCUUGACAUCCCCCGCGAUGCUUUAGAGAUAAAGCGGAGGUAUUCGGGGAGACAGGUGGUGCAUGGUUGUCGUCAGCUCGUGUCGUGAGAUGUUGGGUUAAGUCCCGUAACGAGCGCAACCCUUGUCCUUAGUUACCAGCACGUUAUGGUGGGCACUCUAAGGAGACUGCCGGUGACAAACCGGAGGAAGGUGGGGAUGACGUCAAAUCAGCACGGCCCUUACGUCCAGGGCUACACACGUGCUACAAUGGCCGGUACAAAGGGCAGCUACCUGGUGACAGGAUGCUAAUCUCAAAAGCCGGUCUCAGCUCGGAUCGGAGUCUGCAACUCGAGUGCAUGAAGUUGGAAUCGCUAGUAAUCGCGGAUCAGCAUGCCGCGGUGAAUACGUUCCCGGGCCUU
rnacentral:rRNA from 1 species